AUCAUUACUACUAAGAAGAACUUAUCUAAAUACUAACCACUUCACUUGAUCACCUAAAACUACUUAAAAGAUCUAAUGGAAGAGUGUUUAUAUUAUGGAAGACAAUAUGAUCUAUAUCAGUGGGAACAGAAGAGGAACCUAGAAUUUGGACACUUCGUUAAAAAUCCAGGCAUUUCUCCAGCUUUGUUCCAAAUUCUCCAGCUUUGUUUCAAAUGCCCACGAUUCCACUGGACACAUUUAUGUGACAUGAUCAGAUGAUUGAAUGGAAACUUCCAAUUGUAUUUCCAGGAAUUAACAAGGACUUGAAACACAGUAUACCUACUAAGAAUACCUCGUAUAUACCAAAUAAAGAUUUAUGAGCAAAUGAGUACAGCAGAUUACUGAGAAGUUUUACUUACACAUUUAAAACAUUUUAUUUUGGGGACCGGCAUCAUAGCAUAUCCUAUAUGGG